rnacentral:rRNA from 1 species
AGAGUUUGAUUCUGGCUCAGAACGAACGCUGGCAGCGUGGAUUAGGCAUGCAAGUCGAACGAGAUUGACUGAAUAGCAAUAUUCGGUCAUGAGAGUGGCGGAAGGGCGAGUAAUGCACGGGCAAUCUACCCCCUGGCUGGGGAUAACCCGGCGAAAGCCGAGCUAAUACCGAAUGAGGCUUUGCAGGACAUCCUGCAGACGCCAAAGGCGGGGACCCGCAAGGGCCUGUCGCCAGGGGAGGAGCCCGUGUGCCAUCAGCUUGUUGGCGGGGUAACGGCCCACCAAGGCUUACGGCUAGCUGGUCUGAGAGGACGACCAGCCGCACUGGGACUGAGACACUGCCCAGACUCCUACGGGAGGCUGCAGUCGAGGAUCAUUCGCAAUGGGCGCAAGCCUGACGAUGCGACGCUGCGUGGAGGACGAAGGCCUUCGGGUCGUAAACUCCUGUCAUGAGGGAAAAAGGUCCCGCCCGUGAAUAGCGGGUGGGCUCGAUGGUACCUCAAGAGGAGGCCACGGCUAACUCUGUGCCAGCAGCCGCGGUAAUACAGAGGUGGCAAGCGUUGUUCGGAUUUACUGGGCGUAAAGGGCGCGUAGGCGGCCCCGUGUGUCGCGUGUGAAAGCCCCGGGCUCAACCCGGGAAGUGCGCGCGAAACUGCGGGACUAGAGCAGAGGAGGGGAGAGCGGAAUUCAUGGUGUAGCGGUGAAAUGCGUUGAUAUCAUGAGGAACACCGGUGGCGAAGGCGGCUCUCUGGAAUCUUGCUGACGCUGAGGCGCGAAAGUCGGGGGAGCAAACAGGAUUAGAUACCCUGGUAGUCCCGACCGUAAACGGUGCACACUGGGCGUGGGGGGUUUUCACCCCCUCCGUGCCGCAGCUAACGUGUUAAGUGUGCCGCCUGGGGAGUACGGCCGCAAGGCUAAAACUCAAAGAAAUUGACGGGGGCCCGCACAAGCGGAGGAGCAUGUGGCUUAAUUCGAUGCAACGCGAAGAACCUUACCCGGGUUUGACAUGUACCUGCACGUCCCAUGAAAGUGGGAUUCCUUCGAGGGUGGUACACAGGUGCUGCAUGGCUGUCGUCAGUUCGUGCCGUGAGGUGUUUGGUUAAGUCCAGCAACGAACGCAACCCCUGUGACCAGUUGCCAGCGCGUAAUGGCGGGAACUCUGGUCAGACUGCCUGUUUACGCAGGAGGAAGGUGGGGACGACGUCAAGUCAGUAUGGCCCUUACAUCCGGGGCUGCACACGUGCUACAAUGGCCGGUACAAAGGGACGCAAGACCGCGAGGUGGAGCAAAUCCCCAGAGCCGGCCCCAGUUCAGAUUGCGGUCUGCAACCCGACCGCAUGAAGUUGGAUUCGCUAGUAACGGCGCAUCAGCUACGGCGCCGUGAAUACGUUCCCGGGCCUUGUACACACCGCCCGUCACAUCAUGAAAGCCGUCUGCACCCGAAGCCGCUCUCCGAACCCGCAAGGGACGUGGGCGUCCAAGGUGUGGGUGGUGAUUGGGAUGAAGUCGAAACAAGGUA